AGUACUUUGAAAAGAGAGUCAAAGAGACCGCGAAACCGUUAGGAGGGAAACGAAUGCAGCCCGAUGGGCUUCGAGCGGGUUCAGGGGCGGUGGUGCCGUCGGAUCGGCUGGGCGGACCCGUAGGGGCCGUCCCGCGGAUUGCGGACGGUGGAUCGCCCUGCACUCCCGGUCGAUAGCCGGCCAGCGUCGGUUCGGUUCGGCUCACGCGGGCGGUCGGGAAGGUGCCUCAAUGCGCCGUUUCGGCGCGCGCAGGGAGUACUUACAGCCGAUCGUUCGGCAGUCGGACGUUGCGGACCGAGGAGACGUGUGACGCUUCACACCGGCAGAGCAUGCUUGCCGUUCAGGCGGCGGGCCGGGCCUCUUCUGAUCGUUGGGCAGGCGCUGCUGGGACUGCCCGUCAGUGCCAGUUGACGUCCCGUCCUCCCGGUCGGGAGGUUGGUCACGCCUUGCGCUGCGGUCGCUGGCCGAAGGAAGGCUGCAUCCGACCCGUCUUGAAACACGGACCAAGGAGUGCAACAUGCGUGCGAGUCUGUGGGUGGCAGACCCGUCGGCGUAAUGAGAGUGAAGGCGGACGCCUGGUCCGCCGAGGCAGGAGCCGUCCUCAGCGUUCGGCCCACUGUUGACCGAUCCCGUGCCACGCUGUGGUGGGAUUCGAGUGAGAGCGUGCCUGUUGCGACCCGAAAGAUGGUGAACUAUGCCUGAAUAGGGCGAAGCCAGAGGAAACUCUGGUGGAAGCUCGCAGCGGUUCUGACGUGCAAAUCGAUCGUCAAAUUUGGGUAUAGGGGCGAAAGACUAAUCGAACCAUCUAGUAGCUGGUUCCCUCCGAAGUUUCCCUCAGGAUAGCUGGAGCCCGGAGCAGUUUUAUCAGGUAAAGCGAAUGAUUAGAGGUCUUGGGGUUGAAACAACCUCAACCUAUUCUCAAACUUUAAAUGGGUAAGAAGUCCGGCUUGCUCGGUUUGAAGUCGGACGUUGGAAUGCUGGGGCUCCCAGUGGGCCAUUUUUGGUAAGCAGAACUGGCGAUGCGGGAUGAACCGAACGCCGGGUUAAGGUGCCCGAAUCGACGCUCAUCAGAUCCCAUGAAAGGUGUUGGUUGAUCUAGACAGCAGGACGGUGGCCAUGGAAGUCGGAAUCCGCUAAGGAGUGUGUAACAACUCACCUGCCGAAUCAACUAGCCCUGAAAAUGGAUGGCGCUGAAGCGUCGUACCCACACCCGGCCGUCGGGUCGAGCUGCAAGUCCCGACGAGUAGGAGGGCGCGGCGGUGGCCGUGCAGCCUCGGGCGCGAGUCCGGGCGAAGCCGCCGCCGGUGCGGAUCUUGGUGGUAGUAGCAAAUAUUCAAACGAGAGCUUUGAAGACUGAAGUGGGGAAGGGUUCCAUGUCGACAGCAGUUGGACAUGGGUUAGUCGAUCCUGAGAGGAGGGAGAGGUCCCCCUGCAAGGCGCAGUCGUCUCGUUGCGACGGCGCUGUUCCUCGAAAGGGAGUCGGGUUAAGAUUCCCGAACCGGGAGGCGGAUAGGCCUUCGGGCCGCGAGCGGCGACGCAAGCGAACUCGGAGACGUCGGCGGGAGCUCCGGGAAGAGUUCUCUUUUCUUCUUAACGGGCUAUCCCCCUGGAAUCAGAUUGGCUGGAGAUAGGGUCCAACGCCCGGUAAAGCGCCACACUUAUUGUGGCGUCCGGUGCGCUCCCGACGGCCCUUGAAAAUCCGAGGGAGACNGUUGAUUUUCGCGCCCGGUCGUACCGAUAUC
rnacentral:rRNA from 1 species